rnacentral:rRNA from 1 species
AGAGACAGCAGCAGCCGCGGGAAUACGGAGGGUGCAAGCGUUAUCCGGAUUUAUUGGGUUUAAAGGGUCCGUAGGCGGACUUAUAAGUCAGUGGUGAAAGCCUGUCGCUUAACGAUAGAACUGCCAUUGAUACUGUAAGUCUUGAGUAUAUUUGAGGUAGCUGGAAUAAGUAGUGUAGCGGUGAAAUGCAUAGAUAUUACUUAGAACACCAAUUGCGAAGGCAGGUUACCAAGAUAUAACUGACGCUGAGGGACGAAAGCGUGGGUAGCGAACAGGAUUAGAUACCCCCGUAGUCCCUGUCUCUUAUAA